CAGUUAGCUUUUCUUAGAAUAAACAUUAAAGAAAACAUUCAGCUGUGUCACGACUUGGAACAUUCGAGUGAAGAUUGUCUGUCUGUCCUUCCACAGGCCACACAGCUCCUGGGCCCAGGUUCUAUGGAAGGAUACAACUGAAGGUGGAUGGUGAAGGGCACGCGGUUGUUACCAUCACCGUGGUAACCGACAAAAACAGCAUCAGUGCUAUGACUAAACUGGCUACCUACAAAUCCCUUAGGGUGCCCCCAUCUGGGAGAGUCGCAACAAGCCAGUGAAGGAGAAAAGGACCAGCUCCUGACAGCAACACAUCAAGAUUCUCAGUGAAAUUUUGGGAAACAAGGAUGCUCAGCACUGGACUUGCUGGAGAACAGGGUCGGGUGAAAGUGAGGAAAGCAUAUUGUGUGUCUGAGCCCCCUGCUAUUCUCAAUCUACUCCUUGUCCCUCAGCCCUGUCAUCACCUCUCAUGGAUUCAACUACCACUGCUGCGCCAAUGAUACCCAGCUCUUCCUCCUUAAGUCAGAAGUUAAGGUGGCUUUAUUGCCAUU